rnacentral:snRNA from 1 species
AAUUUAGUAGAGGCGAUGACGUGACCAACGAGGUUCUGCCGAGAUGAGCUUAUGGCUGGCUGAAAAUUUUUCCCAAUUGCCCGCGACGGCCCCUGAAACACGGGUGCCAUACGCAAUUUUUUAACGCUCCCAGGGG